AAUUUCAGUUUUUCAUCUAAAUACAAUUGAUAGAUAUCUCUAACAAGAGUUCUCCGAGAUGGAGCCUUAAAUUGAGGACAUGCUACACUACAAAAGAGCUGAAAACCCUGACCUUCAACAAACCUAAAAGGUAAUUCAUCCAAUACAACCAUCUUAGCACAUGCAAAUCUACACUCUUCUUUACUUCGACCAAUAGCAACAAGAUUGCUCCCGCCACCCUCUUUUUUAUUCUCAAAAGAAAGGAUUUUUUGCUUCUUAUCCACCAAUCUACCAGGAUACUUCUUACAUUGAUUUGUCAAAUGAUUACCCAAUGUGCUAGUACCACACUUCUUAGUGCCACAAGCAUAAUCUAUCCCACGGUAGUUAUAUUUACACCGAACAUCUGGAUCAUCCCUUGAUCCCAAAAGCGUAAAGUGAUCCCAAACAUAUGAAGCUAAUCUAUUAGAUUUUCGUUUACCUAAUGUUGACGGUGCACGUGGAGGAAGACUUGCUUGCAAAUCUAUGUCAUUUGAUAGAGAUUCUGUGCUAAGUACUUCACAAUCAUCCAUAUCUACAAAC
rnacentral:lncRNA from 1 species